UAAGUGUACAAUACAGUAUUGUUAUCUAGAGGCACAAUGUUGUACGUUAGGUCUCUAGAACUUAAUCCUCUUGCUCUUUGU